UUUUCUUAAGUGUCAAGUUCUGUUUAUCAAACAUCUCUUGAGCCCAUCUUACAUCCCAAAAUUUACUAUUGGCUGAAUAUCAGGCGGCUGUGUAUGUACUGCCGCUGCAGCUCUUGCACUGUUCCUAUAACCUCACUUUUGUGUGCUGCCUAAUCUUUAAUAGCACAAUGUCACGUCGUUCGUUCCAUAUUUUGUCAUCAGGGUGGGUUUUCAUUCCAGGUGUCCAUUAACAAAGAGAACAUUUGCCCAUUCCAUAUCUCGGUUGGUGCUUAUCAUUAAGGAGAUCUUCUUGUCAGGUUUCCAAAAGUUCACAUAAGUUUUGUCCAUUCUAUAUCUUGGUUAAAGCUAGCCAUCAGGGUGGGUCUACAUAAUAGGUUUCCACUAGCAUAGUGAAUCUUUGUCCAUUCUAUAUCUUGGUUAAAGCUAGCCAUCAGGGUGGGUCUACAUGAUAGGUUUCCACUAGCAUAGUGAAUCUUUGUCCAUUCUCUAUCUUGGUUAAAGCUAGCCAUCAGGGUGGGUCUACAUGAUAGGUUUCCACUAGCAUAGUGAAUCUUUGUCCAUUCUAUGUCUUGACUGAAGCUUGUCAUUAUGGUGGGUCUUCAGGCCAGAUGUAGACUAGCACAUAGAAGUUUGUCCAUUUCAUGUUUUGACUAAAACUUGUUAUCAAGGUGGUUUAUUAACAGGUGUCCAUUAGCUCACAGAAGUUUCAUCCAUUGUAUAUCUAGACUGAAUUUUGUCAACAGAGUGGAUCUUCAUG